rnacentral:rRNA from 1 species
AUUGAACGCUGGCGGCAUGCUUUACACAUGCAAGUCGAACGGUAACAGGCCGCAAGGUGCUGACGAGUGGCGAACGGGUGAGUAAUGCAUCGGAACGUGCCCAGUCGUGGGGGAUAACGCAGCGAAAGCUGCGCUAAUACCGCAUACGAUCUAUGGAUGAAAGCGGGGGACCGUAAGGCCUCGCGCGAUUGGAGCGGCCGAUGUCAGAUUAGGUAGUUGGUGGGGGAAAGGCUCACCAAGCCAACGAUCUGUAGCUGGUCUGAGAGGACGACCAGCCACACUGGGACUGAGACACGGCCCAGACUCCUACGGGAGGCAGCAGUGGGGAAUUUUGGACAAUGGGCGCAAGCCUGAUCCAGCAAUGCCGCGUGCAGGAAGAAGGCCUUCGGGUUGUAAACUGCUUUUGUACGGAACGAAACGGCUCUCACUAAUACUGGGGGCUAAUGACGGUACCGUAAGAAUAAGCACCGGCUAACUACGUGCCAGCCGCCGCGGUAAGAC